rnacentral:rRNA from 1 species
GAUGAACGCUAGCGGCAGGCCUAACACAUGCAAGUCGAGGGGCAUCGCGGUGCAGCAAUGCACUGGCAGCGACCGGCGUACGGGUGCGUAACGCGUAUGCAACCUGCCCCGCACCGGGGGAUAGCCCGCCGAAAGGCGGAUUAAUACCCCAUGGUCCCGGGGGCCCGCAUGGGCAUCCGGGUAAAGCCUUGGCGGUGCGGGAUGGGCAUGCGUGCCAUUAGCUGGCUGGUGGGGUAACGGCCCACCAGGGCAACGAUGGCUAGGGGGUCUGAGAGGAUGGUCCCCCACACUGGUACUGAGACACGGACCAGACUCCUACGGGAGGCAGCAGUGAGGAAUAUUGGUCAAUGGGCGGAAGCCUGAACCAGCCAUGCCGCGUGCGGGAUGAAGGCCCUACGGGUUGUAAACCGCUUUUCCCCGGGAAGAAUAACCCCGAUGAGUCGGGUGAUGCCGGUACCGGGGGAAUAAGGAUCGGCUAACUCCGUG